GAGGGGUCGGUGGCUGCUGGGCUGGCGGGGCGCAGGCCGCGGGACCCGAGCCCGGGGGAGCGAGAGAGCGGAGGCGCCGAGGAUCCGAUUCAUUCGCUGGGGAGACCUAUGGGCCGAAGCCGUGUAGAUGCGUUUUAAGGCGAGUGCGGAAAGUGGCCUGGGGAGCCUCGGGGAGCGGACGCCCUCCGCCCUGGUGCUGACCUGCCCCCCUGCCCCUUCUGCCUCCUGUCAGCAGGGGCCUCGGCUCCGCAACUGCCACUCCUCCUCGGGGUGUUGCACAAGUUUCGAGGUCACCGGCGACCCCCCCUAGCAGCGCUCCUGGCUCUGGCCCCCGCGAAGGAGGACGGAGUUUGGCAGAGAUGGAGUUGGUCCAGCAUAUUGGAAUCCCUGCCAGUAAGAUCAUCUGCGCCAACCCCUGUAAGCAAAUUGCACAGAUCAAAUAUGCUGCCAAGCAUGGGAUCCAGCUGCUGAGCUUUGACAAUGAGAUGGAGCUGGCAAAGGUGGUAAAGAGCCACCCCAGUGCCAAGAUGGUUCUGUGCAUUGCUACUGAUGACUCCCACUCCCUGAGCUGCCUGAGCCUAAAGUUUGGAGUGUCACUGAAAUCCUGCAGACACCUGCUUGAAAAUGCGAAGAAGAACCAUGCGGAGGUGGUGGGUGUGAGUUUUCACAUUGGCAGUGGCUGUCCUGACCCUCAGGCCUAUGCUCAGUCCAUCGCAGAUGCCCGGCUCGUGUUUGAAAUGGGCACCGAGCUGGGUCACAAGAUGCACGUUCUGGACCUUGGUGGUGGCUUCCCUGGCACAGAAGGGGCCAAAGUGAGAUUUGAAGAGAUUGCUUCCGUGAUCAACUCAGCCUUGGACCUGUACUUCCCAGAGGGCUGUGGCGUGGACAUCUUUGCUGAGCUGGGGCGCUACUACGUGACCUCGGCCUUCACUGUGGCAGUCAGCAUCAUUGCCAAGAAGGAGGUUCUGCUAGACCAGCCUGGCAGGGAGGAGGAAAAUGGUUCCACCUCCAAGACCAUCGUGUACCACCUUGAUGAGGGCGUGUAUGGGAUCUUCAACUCAGUCCUGUUUGACAACAUCUGCCCUACCCCCAUCCUGCAGAAGAAACCAUCCACGGAGCAGCCCCUGUACAGCAGCAGCCUGUGGGGCCCGGCGGUUGAUGGCUGUGAUUGCGUGGCUGAGGGCCUGUGGCUGCCGCAACUACACGUAGGGGACUGGCUGGUCUUUGACAACAUGGGCGCCUACACUGUGGGCAUGGGUUCCCCCUUUGGGGGGACCCAGGCCUGCCACAUCACCUAUGCCAUGUCCCGGGUGGCCUGGGAAGCGCUGCGAAGGCAGCUGAUGGCUGCAGAACAGGAGGAUGACGUGGAGGGUGUGUGCAAGCCUCUGUCCUGCGGCUGGGAGAUCACAGACACCCUGUGCGUGGGCCCUGUCUUCACCCCAGCGAGCAUCAUGUGAGUGGGCCUCGUUCCCCCCCGGAGAAUCCCAGCGGGGCCUCAGAGAUGCAUCUGGGAGAGGUGGGGAAGAUGGCAGGCAAGGGUACCCUUGGCCAGGACUCUGGUGCCCACCCUGCCACCCCCGCGCUCCACCUGCAGUGUUUCUGCCCUGUAAAUAGGACCAGUCUUACACUCGCUGUAGUUCAAGUAUGCAACAUAAAUCCUGUUCCUUCCAGCUGUGUCUGCCUCCUCUGCAGUGCAAGGGGCCUGGUCAGCCAGGUGUGGGGGUGUUCUUGGGGUCUCCUUUGGUCUCCUUCCCACCUUUGUAAAUAUAAUGCAAAUAAAUAAAUAUUUAGGUUUUUAAAAACUGC
rnacentral:sRNA from 1 species